rnacentral:tRNA from 9 species
GGUGGGUUGUCCGAGCGGCCGAAGGAACUUGUCUUGAAAACAAGCAGGCGGUAACCCCGUCUCAGGGGUUCAAAUCCCCUACCCACCGCCG